rnacentral:rRNA from 1 species
GACGAACGCUGGCGGCGUGCUUAACACAUGCAAGUCGAACGAUGAAGCCUAGCUUGCUAGGUGGAUUAGUGGCGAACGGGUGAGUAAUACGUGAGUAACCUACCUUUAACUCUGGGAUAAGCCCGGGAAACUGGGUCUAAUACCGGAUACGACCAAUCUCCGCAUGGGGUGUUGGUGGAAAGCGUUAUGUAGUGGUUAUAGAUGGGCUCACGGCCUAUCAGCUUGUUGGUGAGGUAACGGCUCACCAAGGCGACGACGGGUAGCCGGCCUGAGAGGGUGACCGGCCACACUGGGACUGAGACACGGCCCAGACUCCUACGGGAGGCAGCAGUGGGGAAUAUUGCACAAUGGGCGCAAGCCUGAUGCAGCGACGCCGCGUGAGGGAUGACGGCCUUCGGGUUGUAAACCUCUGUUAGCAGGGAAGAAGAGAGAUUGACGGUACCUGCAGAGAAAGCGCCGGCUAACUACGUGCCAGCAGCCGCGGUAAUACGUAGGGCGCGAGCGUUGUCCGGAAUUAUUGGGCGUAAAGAGCUUGUAGGCGGUUUGUCGCGUCUGCUGUGAAAGGCCGGGGCUUAACUCCGUGUAUUGCAGUGGGUACGGGCAGACUAGAGUGCAGUAGGGGAGACUGGAAUUCCUGGUGUAGCGGUGGAAUGCGCAGAUAUCAGGAGGAACACCGAUGGCGAAAGGCAGGUCUCUGGGCUGUAACUGACGCUGAGAAGCGAAAGCAUGGGGAGCGAACAGGAUUAGAUACCCUGGUAGUCCAUGCCGUAAACGUUGGGCACUAGGUGUGGGGAACAUUCCACGUUUUCCGCGCCGUAGCUAACGCAUUAAGUGCCCCGCCUGGGGAGUACGGCCGCAAGGCUAAAACUCAAAGAAAUUGACGGGGGCCCGCACAAGCGGCGGAGCAUGCGGAUUAAUUCGAUGCAACGCGAAGAACCUUACCAAGGCUUGACAUAUACUGGACCGCAUCAGAGAUGGUGUUUCCCUUCGGGGCUGGUAUACAGGUGGUGCAUGGUUGUCGUCAGCUCGUGUCGUGAGAUGUUGGGUUAAGUCCCGCAACGAGCGCAACCCUCGUUCUAUGUUGCCAGCACGUAAUGGUGGGGACUCAUAGGAGACUGCCGGGGUCAACUCGGAGGAAGGUGGGGAUGACGUCAAAUCAUCAUGCCCCUUAUGUCUUGGGCUUCACGCAUGCUACAAUGGCCGGUACAGAGGGUUGCGAUACUGUGAGGUGGAGCUAAUCCCUAAAAGCCGGUCUCAGUUCGGAUUGGGGUCUGCAACUCGACCCCAUGAAGUCGGAGUCGCUAGUAAUCGCAGAUCAGCAACGCUGCGGUGAAUACGUUCCCGGGCCU